GGGGCCGUCUCCUAGCCAGGUCGAGGGAGCCGGGCUCCAGACCCGGUAAUUCGUGGGUUCAAAUCCCACCGGCCCCACCA
rnacentral:tRNA from 1 species